GCUGUCAGUCGACAGCCACCAAUGAUCUGGCCAUCUGUGAGGAUCGCCUUCGGGUGAUGGCAAAAGAAAGCUUCCGUAGCCUGAGAGGGAGCACACCAGAUUUGGUGUGGUACAUCUGCCCGCCUUUGGGAGCAGAUAUC
rnacentral:sRNA from 1 species